UACAGAGACUGCAAGCGUUAUUCGGAUUCACUGGGCGUAAAGGGUGCGCAGGCGGCCAAGUGUGUGAGGCGUGAAAGCCCGGGGCUUAACUCCGGAAUUGCACCUCAAACUACAUGGCUAGAGCAUUGGAGAGGGUAGCAGAAUUCACGGUGUAGCAGUGAAAUGCGUAGAUAUCCGGAGGAACACCGGUGGCGAAGGCGGCUUCCUGGACCGACACUGACGCUGAGGCGCGAAAGCUAGGGGAGCAAACGGG
rnacentral:rRNA from 1 species